GGAACUCUGGGACACAUGGUAAUAAAGUAUAUUGGCAUAAUGCAAGAGUCAAGAUGCAGAAAAUAACUACUGUGUGAUGUCUCUCUCCCAGCUUUAACCCGCCUGAAGGGCAGCACUGAAUUCAACACACUGUCCCACAAUUGUUGCACUCUCACACUGAAGUGAACAGAUUCUUUCUCCGUGCCGUGCAGCUCCCGGCAGAGGAUGAGGGAAGGGUAGCAUCGGUGAUUCAACACUGUGUUUCCUAUCCUCUUCAAUGACUCUUUCAGCGAUAUGAAGGUAAAACCAGACUUGAAAGCGUGUGUCAGAUCCCUUCACUAUAUCUUCAGACCUGCCCCAAGGAGUGAGGAAGGGCAACACCAAGAACUUCUCUCCAAGGACCAUAACCUGCGAACCCCAUCUCACCUCCUCCUGCCAGAUGGACACAGUCAUUGUCCUCCUGGCUGAUCCCAUGUCCAUGUCUUGCUCUGGCUACUUUCAUACACCCAUAAUGACAUUUUCCAUCUACUCAAUUUUUUAAAAGCUCAGCUCAAACCUCACGGAUUUUCCUGACAAUCUGCUUCUCUCAAUGGCCUUAAUUUAAGUGAGGGUUGUCAGUCUUACUGGGUCUUGUUUUUUGUCUUAAAUAAUAACUAUUUAUGGGUAUCAAGUGUCUCCUCAAUUUGGCUAUGAUCCUUCACGGCAGAAAUACUGUCUUAUCUUGUGAUCAUGGAGUCACAAGAUUUCAUGGCUAGGAAGAAUCAUAAAAUUAAUCCUAGAUUCAGGAUCAGGUAGUAUGUGGUCUGAUUCUAACUCAACAACUUUCAGAAACUCACUUCUUUUUUCUUUUUUUUUCCCCAGGAGGAGCUACCGUAUUAACUGAUGAAACUCACUUCAUUUCUUUGGACCUGCAAAAUGAGGAUGGGCUCUAAACCACCUCUAAAGUUAAUAUUCUAUGAUUCCAUGAUAAGGCUAUUUGUCAUUUAUAAGAAAAGGAACUUCCACAUAGCCCAGAGAAAGGAAAUGACUUUUUCAAGUUUACAGAGUCAAUUAAUGGACAAAAUAUAAUUUGAAAUUCAAUCUCCUGAUCCCCAGUCUAUUGGGAGUUCUUUCAGAAUGUCCCUUGACUCUCUCUCAAAGUGCCAGCAUGUAUGAAACCUUGUUAAGGAUGGAUGCUCAAUGAAAAUACACAAAUUGACUUAACAAGAAACUAAACUCUCCAGAAAGAUGCAGUUGACCCAAAACUCUGAAUAUCUUUUAUGUUUAAAACUUUCUUUUUUGAACAAAAUUGUACAGUUACUUCUCUAUUUCAACUCUUAAGCCUUUUAUGCCAUGUCAAAGGUUAGCUCUCGUUUCUCUCUGUUAAUAAAGUCUUAUUCUUGACUUUGGAACUGUAUGCCAAGCUAAGGGGUCCUUUAUUGUUUAUUUAUUUUUUGAUUCUCUACUUUUGAUUCACACAUCUUUUCUACAAGAAAGACAAUUUAUAGCAGGGGCAUAUUACUUUCUUUGGGCCUCUGUGUCCUUAUCUAUAGCCAAAAGGUAUGGAAAUAAAUGUUUU
rnacentral:lncRNA from 1 species